ACUGACAAUCAGGCCCCCAAUGGUCUACACAACAAACGCUUUUAUAAGCUUUCCUUCGACACAAAUGCACACAACCAUAGAUAUUUGAACCCAAAAUGCAUCGUCUUAGUCCCAUGCCGCUAGUAAUUUUUACAGUUCCCAAAGGACAACGUCCGAUGAUGGCAUUAAGCGGACACAUAAGGCAAUGCGAUGUCGGGAAUAUGUGAAACACCGCUUUCGACGUGAUACAUUUGCUCGCUGUUUGGCCGUUUGAUCCGUUCGCGACGGUCUCUGAAGUCCAAAAGCAAAGCAGGCAUAGAGAAACCAAAUACAAUAGCUCCAUGAUUUGAGAAAUAUCUCGAAUCUGACGCAUCACAAAACCGUUCUCUUUGUAAUGGUUCCUUGUUGUGAUGAGUGUUGUCGAGUAUUUUCAACUUUCAUUUUAAUUUCA